UCUGACCCCAGAUGUCUCCAUCCGACUGUGUCUUUCUCUGGUUCUCCUGGACAAAUCAAACCAGUCCAGCGAAUCGACCAAUAUGAAUCUACCAAUAUCCUCCCAACUGCCUUCAACCAGCACCUCCACCUCUUGAGUAUCAGGCCUGAACUUCACCUGAUUCCAAAGAAAUCAGUUCCUUUGGGAAGAGGCAAGCAUUUAUCUACUUUAUGGCAUGCGUCUCACCCUUCAAGCAACGUCUCUGAGAGGACUGUGGAGCUGAGGGCUAUAAAAUGAAGCGUAGAGAAGGGUCGUUGAAUUUCCAGGUUAUUCGCUCAGUACCUUAUGACCCAGACUGCCUUUUGGAUCAGAAAGAUAUCGGAAGCUAUAAAACACAAAGCCAGGAUUUGUUAUCAUGAGAGUGUUCAGAAGGACAGCAGCGCUGAGUAUGUGCCGUCCUGUGCUCAUCAUAUGAUCCUCUGUUCUCUGACUCUACAACCCCUGUCCGUCUCUGGGUAGAGGACAGAGGAGGCCAGAGUCAAAGCUGGCUGCCGGCGCUAGCUGCCCAUCCACUGAGCUGAGUU